UUCAAAAUUUUAUCAACUUUCAAAAAAUGAACAGAAAAAAAUGUUAGUUUCAAUAAAUUUUAUGUUUUAAAACGUUUUUCAUUCGCCUGAAAAUGGGUGGUAUUCUACGUCAUAACAUGCGUACUACCUAGAGCUAAAGAAUAAAAAGCUUACAAACUCACUACACAUAAACACACUUAGAGACCAUUCUACAGUUCAGAUAUGGUCAUGCCGCGAGGGUAGUGCACUACAGCACUAAUUCAAUGACGAGGCAUUUGGCUUUUUUUAAACGCUAGCUCAUCUACCCAUAUACAAAAAUAAUAAAAUUAAGUUAGGGUACAUGACUGGUCCCUGAAAGUAUUACGCCUGUAUGCAGGCGGUACCAAAAACCACCGACGGCCUCCUUUUUUGUCACCCGACUCCUCUGCGAAUUCCAGGUCCGAUCGCGGUGCUGACAUUAAAGAUGUUGAAUGCUGCCAGUCCACCUAUGAGAACCAUGGAGGACAUAGUUUUUAAGUCCUUUUGGACAAAAUCCUAGCCGCUCAGAACCCGUGAUGAGCAAGGGAACCAAACCCUUUCCAAUGAAUUGUGGCUGACGUAAAGGAGAUGUUGUUCACCGGAAUCCCGUACUCUCCAGACACAAACUUGGUAAUCUCCGCAUUACCUUGGUAAUAACGGACCUUGUUGCUGUGAGCAGACCUUAAAUCCAUCUUCUCGCCAACAACCUGCGCAUCUAUGACUAUCGCACCUUGAUCUUUGGUUGUGACCAGAUCAGGAGUCAUCGCAUAUAGGUUAGUGUCAUCCACAAAGGCAGAAGCGUUCGUAAACUUUUUUCCAACUCUAACCCCCACUUCCCUGAAAGACGAGCUAACAGUCCAUGGUUUAGGAGAUUAAAGAUUAGUGGAGUCAAAGGAUCAAUCUGUUGGACACCCCGUUUGGGGUCAACCCUGCCCCUAUAUAAUAGGGUAACCGUUAUGAUAAACACCCGCGACAUAGCCUGUGUUAAAACACUUGACCAGUAGGUUUCCAUGUCAUUGAUAUCAUCCCGCAUCAUCUUUCGUAUAUGUUGCUUAAUACCGCCUCGGAACAAACAUACCUUCGCGCAUCUUUCGAAUUCACAUGGGAAUCUCACGGGAACGAGGCUAUCGUUAAUAGUUGGGGGUGAUGAAUCAGUGGAUCCACCACAAUUGUCUUCCUAACUUUAAUUAUAGUGCUAUGUUGGAGCAGAAGCCCAGCAAAGUACUUCACCGACUCACUUUUCCCCUAAACAAGAGCUUGGGCGCCUAGCAAACCUCCGCUAGGUGGAGUACGGCAAUACAAAAUGAAUUUGCAAAUCCAUAAGGCACGUAAUCACCCAAGUACCAGCUCAGCACAAAGCGGGGUCACUACUCCCCGACGGGUAUAAGAGAGUCACAGUUACUCCCGCCGUUUACUAGCGUUUGCGGGUAAAAUCUUCACGUUGACAUUCUGUGAACUUUCGCAGCAUCCACCUCGGUUUUAGUGAAGAUGAAACUGGACGCGUCCAUUUUUCACCAGGGAUAAUAAGAACCACAGGUCGAAGAGGCUCAACAAUAGCGUUUCCUAUUGCCUUUCUCUUUGCGGCGCGUUACAAUUGUGAACUGCCUCUCACGGGUGAGCACCGCUGUCAGCUUCUCCAACGCCACCGCGGAAGCAUCAGUGGCGGUCGCCGGGCUGAAUUUGCUUUAGAAUGUGACAUUAAUGAGCUAUGCACAAAACAGCAUCGAUCAAUAUUAACCCUGGCCACAGAAGGGUUAAAUGGUGUUUCACAUAGGAUCAGUGCACUUUUUUACAUUUUGUCAUCUUCUAAAGUCAAAAGUGAAUUUUAUUUCAUCACCUUCUGAUUCUUUGCUGUCGAAGAGAAAUCUUAAUAUUAAGACAAGUCAACAUGACAAUGGAAUAUCUUCAUUGCAAAAGCUUAAGAAUUACUAUUUCAAACAAAUAGUUCUCUUAAAAUUGUGUGUUGGAGAAAUGCCAAUAAAUCUAAACACCACUACCAUGAGUGCAAUUUGUUCUGAAACUGAAGAAACCAUCCAAUUCAAAUUCAAUUACAUAGAAAAAAAAUCUACUAAAUGUAUUAAAAAAUUUAUAAGCUGCAUGCAUUGUGAAAAAUAUAAAUACUGUAACUAUGAAUGUAAAAAUAAUGUUAGGAUGUUAAAUAAUAGUCGAUUUAAUUUUUAUAAAAUGUCAAAAAAAUGUUUAAUGUGAAUGUGUAAAAUCUUUUAUUGACAAAAUCUGUUGUUGUAGAUUACAAUACUAAAAAAGUUAAAUGUUUAAUUAUAAUACAUGCUUUACAAUUAUUGUAUUGUGAUUUGUUUUAUACUAAAAUGUUUCAUCAGGGUACCGAGUUUUAUAAAAUUUCCCGAUCAAAUUUUUAUCAACAAUUAAACACUAUUAUGAACGAAAAAACAUAAAGACAAACAAAGACGUUUAAAUUAAAUUCUUUUCAAUUCUAUUAUUUUGUAUAGACUGCCAAUAACCUACAUUGUUGCUGGGAUGUUUCUGAACAAACAUCCUGACGGACAGAAAAUUUUAUUUUAACUUUUAAGCGCUUUUAAGUGGUAGCAGCCACAGCAAUAUUAUUACAGUCGGGUCCCCAUACUGUUACAUUUUCAGAAAUUUCCCACUUCUCCAGACUCAGCUCUGUUAUGUGCUCAAAUUAUGCUUACUGCGCACCUUUCAGGAACGUAAAUAUAUACACCUCAAGUUUGGCCUAGAAGUAUAUGCACCCUUUUCCUUUGUCUUAAGAAUACGGCCCUGAAAAUUAGUGACGUAACGUGACGUCACCUAACACUUCUGAACUUGGAGGUUAUGCAAAAACAUAACACUACUGAGGACAUAACAGUUUGGAAUCUAACAGUAUAGGGACCCGACUGUAAUUG